rnacentral:rRNA from 1 species
UACGCUGGCGGCACGCCUAACACAUGCAAGUCGAACGAAGUAGUAAUACUUAGUGGCAGACGGGUGAGUAACAUGUGGGUAUCUGCCCUUUGGCCUGGAAUAACACGAGGAAACUUGUGCUAAUACCGGAUAAGUCUUUACGGAGAAAGCUUUAUGCACCAUUGGAUGAGCCUGCACUUGAUUAGUUUGUUGGUGGGGUAAUGGCCUACCAAGACUGUGAUCAAUAGCUGAUUUGAGAGGAUGAUCAGCCACAUUGGGACUGAGACACGGCCCAAACUCCUACGGGAGGCAGCAGUGGGGAAUCUUGCACAAUGGAGGAAACUCUGAUGCAGCGAUGCCGCGUGAGUGAAGAAGGCCUUUGGGUUGUAAAGCUCUUUCGUCGGGGAAGAAAAUGACUGUACCCGAAUAAGAAGGUCCGGCUAACU